rnacentral:rRNA from 1 species
AGUCGAACGCGCAGCGCCGUGUAGCAAUACAUGGUGUGGGCGCGUGGCGAACGGGUGCGUAACACGUGGAUAACCUUCCUUCAGGUGGGGAAUAACCCAGUGAAAAUUGGGCUAAUACCGCAUAACAAGACGAGGGCACAUGCUCUUGCCUUCAAAGCCGCAAGGCGCCAGAAGAGGGAUCCGCGGCCGAUUAGCUUGUUGGCGAGGUAAUGGCUCACCAAGGCAAUGAUCGGUAGCCGGACUGAGAGGUUGGCCGGCCACACUGGAACUGAGACACGGUCCAGACUCCUACGGGAGGCAGCAGUGGGGAAUCUUGCACAAUGGGCGAAAGCCUGAUGCAGCAACGCCGCGUGGGGGAUGAAGCUUCUCGGAGUGUAAACCCCUUUCGACCCGGAAGAAAGUCCGCAAGGAUUUGACGGUACGGGUAUAAGAAGCCCCGGCUAACUACGUGCCAGCAGCCGCGGUAAUACGUAGGGGGCCAGCGUUGCUCGGAAUUACUGGGCGUAAAGGGUCCGUAGGCGGUGUGGCAAGUCGGGAGUGAAAUCUCUGGGCUUAACCCAGAGGCUGCUUCCGAAACUGCCGUGCUAGAGUGUGAGAGAGGCGAGUGGAAUUGCGGGUGUAGCGGUGAAAUGCGUAGAUAUCCGCAGGAACAUCCGAGGCGAAAGCGGCUCGCUGGAUCACAACUGACGCUGAGGGACGAAAGCUAGGGGAGCAAACAGGAUUAGAUACCCUGGUAGUCCUAGCCCUAAACCAUCAGGACUUGGGGUUUGCCCUGUAC